rnacentral:rRNA from 1 species
ACUUGGAAACUAGACCUUAACUAGUAGGAAUUAUAUUUCUGAAAUUUAAAAAGUUUGGCGGCUUUUAGAGGGCUCAGGGGAAUUUGUAUCGUUAUCGUAACCACGCGCUACACCUUACUUAGCUCUAGCUUGUAUACCGCCGCCUAAGUAAUCUUUAUAGAGGUUGCUACAAUUAGCCAUACAGACGUCAGGUCAUGGUGCAGUAUAGCUAAGGCGAUUACAAAUUACAAUUUACAUCCAACUUGGAAUUAAAAUUAAAACUUUAAUGAAAUAGGACUUGUAAGUAAUUACUAAGUUAGAAUAGAGUAAUAAAUCUAAGCUAAAAGUGUACAUAUCGCCCGUCACUCU